GAUGAACGCUGGCGGCGUGCCUAAUACAUGCAAGUCGAGCGAACGGACGAGAAGCUUGCUUUUCUGAUGUUAGCGGCGGACGGGUGGGUAACACGUGGAUAACCUACCUAUAAGACUGGGAUAACUUCGGGAAACCGGAGCUAAUACCGGAUAAUAUUUUGAACCGCAUGGUUCAAAAGUGAAAGACGGUAUUGCUGUCACUUAUAGAUGGAUCCGCGCUGCAUUAGCUAGUUGGUAAGGUAACGGCUUACCAAGGCAACGAUGCAUAGCCGACCUGAGAGGGUGAUAGGCCACCCUGGAACUGAGACACGGUCCAGACUCCUACGGGAGGCAGCAGUAGGGAAUCUGCCGCAAUGGGCGAAAGCCUGACGGAGCAACGCCGCGUGAGUGAUGAAGGUCUUCGGAUCGUAAAACUCUGUUAUUAGGGGAGAACAUAUGUGUAAGUAACUGUGCACAUCUUGACGGUACCUAAUCAGAAAGCCACGGCUAACUACGUG
rnacentral:rRNA from 1 species